rnacentral:piRNA from 1 species
UAGCAGAUCUGGGAUUUAACACAUCUCUG